GAAACCGGAGCUAAUACCGGAUAAUAUAUUGAACCGCAUGGUUCAAUAGUGAAAGACGAUUUUGCUGUCACUUAUAGAUGGAUCCGCGCCGCAUUAGCUAGUUGGUAAGGUAACGGCUUACCAAGGCAACGAUGCGUAGCCGACCUGAGAGGGUGAUCGGCCACACUGGAACUGAGACACGGUCCAG
rnacentral:rRNA from 1 species